rnacentral:misc_RNA from 1 species
UAAAGUGCGAUAUGUAAUGCGAUCUGCAUGAAUCUGUGAGUCAUCAAGUUUUUGAACGCAACUUGCACCUCUCGGGCAACUGAGAGGUAUGUCUGUUUGAGUACCUAAUCUCCAUCUUGUCUCUAGUCAGAGGCAGACUUGAGGUCAUAGCUCGUUAAGAGGUAGACCUUUAAAUGAAGCAUGCUAAAGGCAUUGAAGACCUUGGCUAUGUGCUAGAGACCAGUCGGUCUUGUCAUAGCCAAGAACCUUUGUGCCUCGCUUCUGAAGAGGAGCAACGCCUUUAACUUGGUCUCAAAUCAGGCAAGACUACCCGCUGAACUUAA